GUGGCUAUGGUGAAGUGGUUAACACGACGGAUUGUGGCUCCGUUACUCGUGGGUUCGAUUCCCACUAGUCACCCCA
rnacentral:tRNA from 1 species